rnacentral:piRNA from 1 species
UAAAAGCACAGUUACGUGUUUCGACAUACA